GUGGUUGGGCUUGUGGAGGUGGUGGUGGUGAGGGGCAGGGGACGCUCUUUGAUGGGCACUGUGAUCCGCUCGCUCGCCUCUCCGUCGCUCACUCACUAAAUACAAGUGUGCCGAAAACGAUCUAAAUAAACGUUAAAAGAACAUGAUACUAAUCUUAACGUUUGAAACGAAAAAAAAAAUAUAAACCUUUUAUUAAAUCGUAUAUAAAGAGUGAACAUACAAGUGCGAGGACAGACAUAAACAGAGCAAAUACGCAAAGCCAUAUAUCAAUUAGCAACAGGUGGAGCAGCAGGUGGCAUUAAAGUGCAGGUGUGGCGAGGUAAUUGCACCACCCCACCUUUAGCGACUAAGUGACGUCGAACCUAACAAACUCAAACGUGUGUAAAAGUGGAUGUGAUAAAAGUCAUGAGAUUAGAAACCCCCUCUCACACUUACAUCCUAGUGAGGUCUUGGGUGUCUCUCUGAUGUCUUCAAUCUCACAAUGUCGAGUCCGUGGUAUUAAGAGUACGAUGAGACACAAGGGUUAUUCCAAUGAUAAAUAACUAAACGGGUUAACCUAUGACAUACAACACCACAGUAAUCAUUGAGGUUACUAUGUAGACACAGGACAAGUGAGCGGUGUUUGGUGUGGAGGAGUGAUUGUGUCGCUCUCUCCACCUCCCCUAUAUUGUUCUCCACCAUCACGUCAUGUCAUCAGCAUCAACUCAUCAAUUUAAGGAAGGAUAACAUGUCUACGGUAGCCAGCUGAUACGAGAGAGGUCCCUCAGCCUCCAGCCAGCCAUCACAGCCAUGAGGCCAAGAGGCAUGGCUGUGGGCAGAGCAAGUAGUGUAGUGAUCUUCUCCAAGUUACUCGCGGGGAGGAGGUGUAGCCAGCAGGCCACCAUGGACUGGUUCAUCGUAUGACCCUGUACUGCCGCCCGCCGCACACCAGUAUCAUGGAGUCUAAGGUUAUCAUCCCUCCUACCCUUCCUACUUUUGGGCAUCCUACAGUCUACUUCUAUCCUACAGUGUCCCCGCGGGUGGUGGUGGUGCCUAUACUCUCCUGCAUCAUCGGCUUUCCUGUGUUGGUGAUGCUGGUCAUCUGUGGCCUCAGGUACCGCGCCAAACGAGCUCGGACCUCAGCCAAGAAAGCACACAACGUGGAGUCAUCAAUCAUGGAGCUGUCGUCAGGACCCUCCAUUCUGGCCAGCCGCUGCAGUAAUGGUAAAACUCACAGACAGAAGAGAAAGAAAGCACUUGUCAGGUUUAAGCCCAUGCCGGAGAUUGAUCUGGACACUGUAGUGGAGGAGAAGUCAGAGUUCGACGCCGAAGUGACAGCCUCGGACUUGUUGACAACCCCUGAGGAGCUUAUCAUCCCUGAGGAGCCGACACCCCCGGCCUCCUUCAGGGCCUACAGGUAUAUGGGCGCCGUACAGGCAACGAUGACGUCACCCAUCAAGACAUCUCCAUACAGGAAUCCUCAUACAGCCACCAACCUGGAUAACGUCACUGAAGAAAUGGAAGUUGUUGAAGAUGUAACUCUGGAUGUUAGUGAUGAUGAAGGACUCGACGCUUAUGACGAUGAUGAUGUGACUAAUGGAAAUGCUGUAGAACGUGAAGGUAUUUCUGAUGAUAAUGAUGAGGGAGGCGAACAACCAGGCAGCGGCGGCAGCAGUGACAGUGAUACAGUUGGAGCCUGCUUUUCGUUGUCACCCAAACAAGUGACAAAGUCGCCGACCGGGGUUCAUUUAGCUCUGAAAAAACUCGACGGUGCAGUAAAAAGACGGCACUCGAGCCCCGUCAAAGUUAACUAUGGUAAGAACAAAGGCCAGCGAGGCUCAGGGAAAGUUAACCACAGUUACACCAGCGAAGAAGAGAGCCCCCAGCCUGCCAGGGCGGGCUUUGACUACAUUGACCGUGAACUGAUGCCGGAUAUAUCCCCCCGCACCCGCUCUCACUCUGUGAAGCACCCCAGCCGCCGGGCAGCGUCUUUCACCAUCAAGAAGCGCCACGGGGAAUCCUUGAAGCUCAGGAGCAAGAGUUUUUCAAGAAGUAUUUCACACGUUCAUGACGGCCAUGACGGUAGGCCCAGAGUGCACCAAAGAAAUGCUUACGGCGGUGACUCUGCCUCCACAUCACAAAUACAAAACGGUGUUCUUGAGUGUGAUGUGCACGUUGUGGGUGAAAAUGGUGCUCAGAAAAGCUCGAGUGGUGAUCAGAUUUACAGUGAUGAAAUCAGCACCAAGACCGUGUCCGACGCUGAAACUCUCUCCAGCGGGAACGAAACUGACUGGUCAGGGGCUUCUCGUAAACCCCGCGUCUCAGUACGCAGAAGUUACUCCUUGGUGGUGCGAGUAAAGAGAGACGACUCCGAGAGUCCCAUGAGAAGAAGACCACAACGCUCGAGAACUGCAUGUGGUGAAAGUGAGGCCCGAGAACUGUGCCAAGUGCCACCAAUUAUCUCGGAGGAGUCUCUCCUUCAGUGUCGCCAACCUGACUUGGUGGUGUCACCUCCUGCUAGCGCAGAUUUAAGCGUUGUGAACGAACUGUCGCUCAAACACAGACAGGAAGACGGUGAGGCGGCGAGACACUGUCACAGGUGCCGGGAGGAGGUGGACAGGGACGACGAGCGCAGUACUCUCGUUUGAUAAUGUUCCGCCACAUUUUUAUACAUGUAAAUGCUUUGCAAGAUAUGUAUUGCAUCUUACGAUAUAUUAAUACUUCCAGCUGUAUAAAGAUCAUGUUACUCGUGAUCAAACUUUCACCUUAGAUUUUACAAUGUAUCUUGGUGUUAACUGGGGGUAUCUGGUGCUUCAUAAUGCCCAACUUUAUUAGAAAUAGCAAAGCAAAAUAUAAAAAAUAAUCUUCCACUAUAUAAUGUAAAUGGUUCCUAGUUUUAUAUGAAAAGUGACGAUAAACGUGACGACUUUCUGGACGUUUUCACCUAUAUAUGUUGUCUGUCAAUUUUCUCAGCCGUCAACUUAUUUCAUUAACGCAAAUAGACGAUAUUGAACAGAGUGUAAUAUUCAAGGUGGCCCUCACUCUUAUCCUCACUACCAAGACCACUUAUCAAUUGGCUAAUUACUUUAUAUCAGGUACCAUUAUAAUUAUUAUGAUACAAUUACAUCGCCCGACACCUGCCACACAGGUGUUGGGUGAGUCACGUGGAUUCUCUCCAUUCACGUAACCUAACCUAACCAUUUCCUCCCCCACACCUCUUCUUUCCUACCUAAACCCCUCUCAUACCCCCCCACUUUCUCCCUACCCGUAAGUAAUGAAUUAAUUUCCUCUGACUUGCUGUGUGAAAUAGGUAAUGAAUCCUUAUUAAGAACAGGUAUAGACGUUUCACAAAGACCUACAGGUUUACUAAGUCUAUAUGUGUGUCUUUAUUAACGUCAUAUCCCAGCGUCUCUGUUAAAAUGAAUUCCAUAACACCUAACAUUGGGUCGUCGGAUUAUUUAUUAUGAAUUUUGUUUUUAAGAUAUUUACUGAAAUGUGGAAUGACUCAAUGGUCGGUGGAAUGACUCAAUGGUCGGUGAAAUGACGCAAUGGUAGGUGAAAUGACUCAAUGGUCGUCACUGUGAAUUAAACUUAACAAAUGGUCCUCCUCCUCAUUCCCUUCCAUUGAGGUAAAACUCUAAUUAAAAAAUUAUUCCGUAUAAUAAUAAAGUUACCCAACAAGGCAACAGUUUUACGAUAAAUUCCCAAGUUUUUAAGAAAGAGUAAAACUUAAACGAUUCAUUAAAAGUUACAUGGUAAAAAAUGUACUAUACAAGUUAUAUGGCAGAGUAAAAAGUUACAAUGUUGUGAAAAAAGACGCCUCAUAUCUGCAUCAUAUUCUUCAGUCACAUAUUUCAUGACUACAACAAACUUCAGUUCAUACCGUGUUAUUUUCCCAGAAACUCAGUCGCGUGUUGGAGAUGCAUCAGUAUGGCUUAUUAGAGGAUGAACUGAGCAAUGAAUUAUUUAAAUAAGUUCAAUCACGUACUUACUUCUUCACUAUCCAAGCACGUUAACUGACUCAUUAAAACGCUUGCAGAUUAUGAAGGCUACAUCGUUCUAAGAAUUCUUACCUGUGAGUGCUGGGAUUCGAACAAGGGACCACCAGGGGUUGACGGGUAGGCAGCUCCAUCCACUAAACCACAACGGGUUAAAAAAAGCUAUCCAUCCUUAGUUCCUCACUACACAGCCCAAGGUCUCAUGCCUACAGGUGAAAAACACUUACAUUAAUUUACCUGCGUUACACUAUAAAUUAAUUAGAAUACAUAUACACCACUGUUCCUUAAUUAAAUAUUUCACAAACAGAAUUAAUUAUCUCCCCAAUGGUGAAUAAAAUGGACUUAAACUUAAAAAAAAAAAAUUAUCUUGUCAGGUUGGAAGGAUAGAUUCCGCUUAGUUACGCCUUCUGAAUCCUCCCUCAUGCGGCCCUCCCUAGUAUCUUCCUAAAAAAAAAGUCGUCAGUUGCCUUAAUGAAUAACUUAUGUGUGUUGAUAGUGUGGAAUGAAUGAACCUGUAAUAAUGAAUCACCUCUCGGCUCUUAUCAUGAUAUCGGGACUUUUUUUUUUGUUUUUUUACAUAAUUGACACAAAUACAGAUAUAUAUUUUCAAUGUAGACUUUAAACAUGUACAUUCUAAUUGUUAAAAGAAAAUUAUAACUAAACGAUAACUAAUAUAAAUCUUACCGACUUUACCCUAUAAAAAGAACAUUUAUGGGAGUGUACAAUUGUGUCUAAAAGAUGAAUUCCUCAUUCUACAUAAACUUCUCUGUAGGGACGUAGGUAUCCAAGGCACUGCGAGCCCCAGCUGCCAAGGGUAAUAUUUUGGCCUUUAAGAAGUAUUCCUAACGGCCCCAAAAAAUAAAAUUAAAAUAAAAAAAUAAAUAAAAAAUAAAAAAUAAAUAAAAUAAAAAGGUUUACUUAAUGGUCUUUAGCAAAUUCGACCGUAAAAACAUCUACAAACUUUCCUCUCUUUGUUGACACAGUGAGAAAUAUCUACUCUGCUUGCUCAUUCUAUAUUCAGGCAUAAAAUAGCUUCAUUAGCACCGAAAUGUCUUGGGGAAAACUUAGAUGAACCGAACUACUGGUAGGGGCAGUGGGGCACGACACAGGGAGGAGACUGUCACAGAAGGUUGUGCUCAGUGCAUCAUGGUUGUAAUUAGCUCACUAAGGUUGUGCUCAGUGCAUCAUGGUUGUAAUUAGCUCACUAAGGUUGUGCUCAGUGCAUCAUGGUUGUAAUUAGCUCACUAAGGUUGUGCUCAGUGCAUCAUGGUUGUAAUUAGCUCACUAAGGUUGUGCUCAGUGCAUCAUGGUUGUAAUUAGCUCACUAAGGUUGUGCUCAGUGCAUCAUGGUUGUAAUUAGCUCACUAAGGUUGUGCUCAGUGCAUCAUAGUUGUAAUUAGCUCACUGACCUAAAUAGGAAAUUUUUUAAUCAUUGGUUAUACCCAAAAAACAACCUUUCAUUCAUUAAGGAGUAGAUUACUGUGAUUACAAACAGAAUAAAUAAAUAAUAAGACACAGAUAACGACAUAUAAGGCUUAACAUAUGGAAUACUUCUCAAAGACCUCCCUAAUGAGAUUUAUAAUCCAUUCAGUGCAAAAACAAACUAAACCGUGUACUCUGACGCGGGGUUCAACAGCGUUCAUUUGUAGGUGUUGAUGCGACUCACCAUGACCACUGUUGAAGCCUGACGCGACAGAGAACCUACACCUUGUUGUUACUGGCUUGUGUAGUACAGUAUUAUUUGUGUAUAUUUCUUAUUGCUAAAUUUAAGUGAAUUGUCUGUGUAAAAAAAAAAUAAUAAUAAUAAAAAAUCCAUUGUUUACGGUAUAUGUUUGUAUAAUAUAUUCACAGGUACAUUUGAAGGGCAUGUGUAAUAAGAAUUAUCAGGAUUAAAAUAUGAAAUAAGUA
rnacentral:misc_RNA from 1 species